GUGGACGCAUCACUGGUGUUCGGGUUGUCAUGCCAAUGGCACUGCCCGGUAGCUAAAUGCGGAAGAGAUAAGUGCUGAAAGCAUCUAAGCACGAAACUUGCCCCGAGAUGAGUUCUCCCUGAGACUUUAGAGUCUCCUGAAGGAACGUUGAAGACGACGACGUUGAUAGGCCGGGUGUGUAAGCGCAGCGAUGCGUUGAGCUAACCGGUACUAAUGAACCGUGAGGCUUAACCUUACAACGCCGAAG
rnacentral:rRNA from 1 species